GAUGCCCUUCGCGUAGUGGUCACUGCGCUCGCCUUGCACGCGGGAGACCCGGGUUCAAUUCCCGGCGGGGUCA
rfam:Asian citrus Psyllid, Diaphorina citri - Florida Strain, whole genome shotgun sequence.